rnacentral:rRNA from 1 species
GACGAACGCUAGCGGGAGGCUUAACACAUGCAAGUCGAGGGGCAGCACGAGGAAGCAAUACUUUGGUGGCGACCGGCGCACGGGUGAGUAACGCGUAUGCAACCUACCCUGUACAGGGGGAUAACCCGGAGAAAUUCGGACUAAUACCCCAUAAAGAUAUUUAGAGGCAUCUUUGAAUAUUUAAAGUUCCGGCGGUACGGGAUGGGCAUGCGUAACAUUAGCUAGUUGGUAAGGUAACGGCUUACCAAGGCAACGAUGUUUAGGGGUCCUGAGAGGGUGAUCCCCCACACUGGUACUGAGACACGGACCAGACUCCUACGGGAGGCAGCAGUGAGGAAUAUUGGUCAAUGGGCGCAAGCCUGAACCAGCCAUCCCGCGUGAAGGAAGAAUGCGCUAUGCGUUGUAAACUUCUUUUCCAGGGGAAUAAAAUUUUGUACGUGUACGGAAUUGAAGGUACCCUGGGAAUAAGCAUCGGCCAACUCCGUGCCAGCCGCCGCUGUAAUAC